AGGUAGAUAGUUUAAAAAAAACAUUUGAUUUCGGCUCAAAAGCUCGUGGUUAAAGUCCACCCUCACCUA
rnacentral:tRNA from 1 species